rnacentral:rRNA from 1 species
GACGAACGCCGGCGGCGUGCUUAACACAUGCAAGUCGAACGGAAAGGCCCUGCUUUUGUGGGGUGCUCGAGUGGCGAACGGGUGAGUAACACGUGAGUAACCUGCCCUUGACUUUGGGAUAACUUCAGGAAACUGGGGCUAAUACCGGAUAGGAGCUCCUGCUGCAUGGUGUGGGUUGGAAAGUUUCGGCGGUUGGGGAUGGACUCGCGGCUUAUCAGCUUGUUGGUGGGGUAGUGGCUUACCAAGGCUUUGACGGGUAGCCGGCCUGAGAGGGUGACCGGCCACAUUGGGACUGAGAUACGGCCCAGACUCCUACGGGAGGCAGCAGGGGGGAAUAUUGCACAAUGGGCGGAAGCCAGAUGCAGCAACGCCGCGUGCGGGAUGACGGCCUUCGGGUUGUAAACCGCUUUCGCCUGUGACGAAGCGUGAGUGACGGUAAUGGGUAAAGAAGCACCGGCUAACUACGUG